UCAACCUAGAGCCAGCCUAGAGCCUGGAUGCUGUGUUUUGUGUUGAAAAUGUUGGGUAUUAGAUUGAGACUUGAGGUUUGACCUCCAGUCACUAUUUAUCAAAGUGGUAGAUAGAAAUAUUCAUACUGUUAGAUUUUGUAUUUUGAUUAUUACCUGGGUUGUUUGACUGUUUAUUUACUAUUCAAAAAGGCCACUAUUGUUUUAGUAUCCAGAGGACUGAGAAAUCUGGUGUGUACAUGAAAACCAAAUUACAAAGGGUGCUUCAAAAGGAAAAACGUGCGAAACGAGGUAAUGGGAUUUCAUUAUUUGGUUGUUUGAUAUGUGUUCAAAUUGCUAUUCUACAUAUUUUUUCCAUUAAAUUUUAUCCUUUUAUAUUUCUAUGAGCUUGCAAGAAGAGCUCCUAGGAUAAUGGUUUGUUCUCGUGGAAGAGGUGAAUGCUUAUACAUAUGUCACAUAUUACAUUGAUUUCUUUGAUUGCCCAUUUUUGGAAGCUAGAGCAGCUUGUCAAGGAAUUGUAAUGAGUGGUGUAUGUUGCUGUUAACCUUUUUUAUAUGCCUCAAGAUAAAACUUGUUUGCCCUACAGUAAAAUUUCAUUCAACUGUAAAAAUCUUACAAAUAAGAUGGAGAAGAAGGUGAGAAAGUGGAGGUGGAGAGGUGGAAAUUCUGUCCCUUUGUUUCCCUUCUCUAAUUCCUUCAAUCUAGAUACACAUAUCGCGUUGCAUCAAAGAGAUGAGUACCAUUACUUCCCUUUCAGAAAUUUAAUUAUAUUUGGCUUCUUUUUUUUCUUUCUUUGAUUCUAAUGAAAGAUCUAUGCUGCAGGGUGUUUAUAGGUAUUAUAUUGCAAAGAUUUAUAUUGAAGGGUGUUAAGAGAUCCAUAUUGUGAACGACUUCUUCAAAUUAUAGAAUUGAAGGAUUAUAGAUUUAAAGGAGACAUGCUACUAAAUAUUUCUAACAUAAAGAUGCAGUUUCUUUUACCACUUCCCCCCUCCUUAUGCAUGCAUACAUUAGUUAGAUGCAAUUCCUUAGUUCUCUAAGUUUUUUGUGUGUGUGUUUUUGUUUGAAAAUAUUUUAUAAUCAUGCAGUUUUCUAGUUUGAUAUCAACCAAGAGCUUUGAGGCUCCAUUCUGGGUUGAAAGUGUUGGUAUCAGAUUGAGACUUUAUGCUUGUCCUCCAGUUUCUAUUUAUGAAAAUGGUUGUUAGAAAUAGUCAUACUAUUUCUUUUUGUCCUUUUGGAUUAUGAUUAUUACCUGGGUUGUUUGACCCUUUAUUAACUAUUUAAGAUUGCCCCAUUUGUUGUAGUAUCUGGAGGUGGACAUAGAAAACCUGGUAUACACCAAAACCAAAUUACAAAGGGUGCUUCAAAGUGAAAAAUGUGAAAAACGAGGAAAAGUUCGUUUAACCAAGAAAACCGUACAUUUAAAACGGAGGAGAGGACGUAGAUGGCAGGGGAGAAAGCGGAGGGGGAGAGCUGGAAAUUCGGCCUCUCUAUUUCCCUUCACUAAUUCAUUUCAACUGGAUUCACAUAUCGCAUUGCAUCGAAGAGAUUAGUACUAUUACUUCCCCUUCAGAAGUUUAAAUCUAUUUAGCUUCUUUUUUUUUGGCCUUCAUUUUUUCUUUCUUUGAUUCUAAUGCUAAGAUCUAUACUGCAGGUUGUGCAAAAGUAUUCUAAUGCAAAAAUCUAUACUGAAGGGUUUACAGAGAUCCUAACUAUAAAUGACAUCUAACCCAUACAAUUGGAAAACACAUACAACAAGAAAAAACAAAUAAUUACUUUGCAAAUCCUUUAAAUUCUUGAAUUGAAGGAUUCUAGAUUUAGAGGAGACUCGCUGCUGAAUAUAUUUAACAAUAAGAUGCGAUUUCUUAUACCUGGCUUAUCUCAUUUAUUUUACUUUCUUUUUGAAAUUCUUUUUCCCCUUCUGUUCUUGACAUGCAAACACAUAUUAGGUUUUCUUAUUUGAUCGAUUCAACCCGAUGGUGGUAGAAAUGAAAUGGAUGGGAGUGUGGCAGCAAUUCGAAGAAGUUAUACGAUCUAACCGGAAGCAAUAUUGAAUGGAGAAGGUAGAUGUAGAGAGUCUAGAGAUUCUAGAAAGAAACAAAAGCUUAUCUAGCAGAGAAAGAAAUUGAAUCCACCUAGUUUUUGAACUAUUUUUUAAAGGCAAAAAAGAGGCUUGGAUGGUUGUUAACUAUUGCAUCUUUGUGCCGGGUUAACCUAGUUUCCCCCUUAUUUCUAUGCCACAAUGAAGAAGGUGGAAGUACAAGCUCAUAGGGCAACAAUUAUUCUCCAUAUUUAUUGGCUUCCUCCUGGUCUACUUUGUACUUCAUCUCAUUCUACUUUUGAAGAAAAGUUUCCCAGGGUGACUGUCGAGAUCUUUUACAUCUCAGAAUGAAUCUACAAGAUUUCUCAAAUGGAAGUUCACCCUCGUUCUCAAUGCAACUUGAUUGAAUAAGUUACAUGAAUUCUGAGAGGAGAAUUCUUACAAUGGGUUUGUCCGGGUUGCAUCCGUGGAAAGCAUGGCUGAAAUGAGAUAUGAGUCUUGAACUCUCUUGUGAUACUAUUUUAACAAUUGUGCAUGUCUUGCUUGGGACAUUGACAUCCUCUGGUUCUGGUGGAAAGCAUAAAAGUGUUAAUCCAUCUGUGCGUGGAAGGGAAUUUGAACAGGUAUUCAGGAAAACUUUUGCUUUAACUUCUGUUUUGAUAAUAAGGGAUGGAAAUGUUUGAAAGGAAAUAAAACAAAUAAGUGGGUAGAGGAAAUUUAUGAAAUGUUCUGCUUAAACUCUCUUGUGAAGAUGGUGGAGCUACUUUACAUAGCCUCAUAGAUCAAAAUUUCAGAAAUUUAUCGAUCCUAGUCGACUUGAAACCCUUAGCGACUUGACAGUUUUACAAGGUUUUGGUCAACAUUCUGUCGACAUGACUAUAAUGGUUGAAAUGGUCAAAUUUUGCUCGAAAUGAUUGAAAUUUUGAAUUGUAUAGAAAAAUUGUCGACAUUUUACUUUCUAAUUAAUUGUAUGAUUUUCAUGUUGGAUGAAUAAAUCAACUCUUUUGAUAUUAACCCAAGGGGGUAGCCAAGUUGGCAAGGGACUUUUGCCUCAGGAAGUGUGUGUUUAUGAGUUCGACUCCUCUUACCACUUUGGGAGCCACUCACACGCGGGUGUUUAGUGCUCUUCGCUGCUUUCAGUGUACG